GAACUAAUUCUUGACUAUGUUAAUUUCAUUUUCAAAGCAGAACCACAGAAGAGAAAUACAUGUCUAAAACUGGGUCAUGUGACUCUGGAGUCCUCAAUUUUACAUCCCUGACUUGGAAGAUGACUGACAUCUGCCAGAACAGCUCUAUUGAAGCCGUAUUUUCCUUGCUCAUACAGGCAAGGACUAUGACUGUCCAGACUCAAACAGAACUUUAACCCCACCAUUCACUUCAGAAUGGAGGCCAACUUGGUCUGCACAAACCUCUGGCUGAGCUGACUGGCAGCAGAGCUAAGCUGAGCUCAUGCUUCAUCCCUGGACUCCCAGGCUACACUACUCUGUCUUGGCGUCUGCUCUGUCAUGGGAAAGGCAUAUUUAUCAUAGACAAUUGGUGGACUCUCCACCAAAGGACCUACCUAAGGUAUCAACAAUACCCUAAUGGCACACAAAUCCUUGCCAGCCAACAUUCAGGUUUGGAACAAUGCCAAGGCCAUCCUUUGGAGCUUGUAAUGCCCUGUGGGGCAUGGCUGUUCUGCUAGGUAUGCUUCUCUGCUUUAUUGAGAUAAGCACUUGCUCUCAGAGACCUAAAGGAGGAUGUGCAGGGACAGAGAUGUGAUCCUUCAGCUUCGUUCUCCUGCCAGAAUGCCACCUCUUAUCACCAUGCCUACCCUCCAGGAUAGACUCUUAUCCUUUUGGAACCAUAAACCAAAGAAAUGCUUCCGUGUCUAAGUUGCUAUUGGUUAUGGUAUUUUAUCACAAGAACAGAAAAGUAACUGAGCCACAAAUUGGGAUGAAAUAGAGGAGAUAUUUCUGUCAAGACCUAACUGUGUUGAGGUUUGGUUUUGUAAGAAUGCACUAGAAGUUAGAGGCUUCGGAAGAAAACAAGAACUGUAACAGUACUUCAAGAAAGAGGCCGUUCUUUAAUAUUUUGGCCAAGAAUCCAGUGACCUUCUACCCAUGAACUUGCCUGAAACUAACUAAAAUGUAAUGGACUAAUCUCU